ensembl:lncRNA
AUAGAAUUUUCUGGAGCACUGAGCAACUGCUACAACUAAAGAGUUCAGAAAAAUACACUGCAUCAACACCAACAGCUGGAAUGAGUGAGGGUCCAAAUACAAGCACACUUCUCAGCAGCAGCUUUCUGCAGCUCCCACUCCCAUACGCCGACGGUGAGCGCCGAGCGCUUGCGGUGGUGGAUGAGGUAUAGGCUUAAGAGUCUGCAUGCCCUGCUGCGAGUGAGCGAGCUCCGACAGCUCCGCUCCAGCGCCUUUUGUUGUGCAGAUUCUCUCCAAAAGCCCACACUGAGUACUUGUCAAUUGUGCCGAAGUCUUGCAAUCACAAAGAGCGUAACUUUUCAUGACACAGCUCAACAGAUUACUGGUAUAGAGGGAGCCAAGCCCGAAUCCAAAAACCGCAAUCACAGGGCAGGCGAGAGCCGAAUGCAUCUCGAAUGAAUCCCCCUCCCGCUCCGCUUCUUUGCAUAUUGCUCGCCAAACGUGACGCGGAUCGCGGGGUUGCAAGCCUGGUUCUUUCCUCGGGCUCACUAACCUGGAGUGUGAAGGGUAAAAUGAUCUCCAGGGUUCCAGAAGGUCCUUAGCCACAGGGUCAGACCAUGUAGCCACGUCCCACAGCCUCACUCCUGCUUUGCCCCACGUUUCUGUGUCAUAGUUCGCAGCCCCAUCUACUCCUACGUUACAAGAGACCCACACCAAAAGUCACCUUAAAUCGAAGCUUUUCACUUCAGCGCGGUGUUUCUGCAAAACCGUUUCCAUUAUUUUGCAGACCACCUCCUGCUCCUUUGUGUCACUCGCGCCUAUUGUUCCCCAUUGCUCAUUUCCGACUUGCAGAAGUGACUCUGGCUAUGCAGCCCGUUCCUGCUUCCUUUCAGCAGCCCUAAUUCCUUGCCACUGGUCAGCUUUGAUAGCCAAUUAUCUCCCGAGGCUGACCCUGAUACAGGGACCCUGUUCGGGCGCCAUUUGUGGCAAGCGCACUCUGUCGCUGGUGCAGAACGAAGACACGUAUGAUAGCCUGUUGGCUGACACACAGAGGGCUGAAGCAAGAUGCUUUGUUACUUGCUUUGUUACUACACACUUGACAACAGUUCCUGCAUUUUCAGAUGGGAAGAAGAAUCAACAACUCCUAGGAAGGAUGAGGAGGAGAGGGAGAAAUAUUACCUUUACCUUUCAGAACAAGAGUUUUUACCUGCACAGCCACUACCAACUGACAGCUGGAUCAAGGUUGAGGAGACAGCUGCAGACAUUUGCAUAUUUCUGUUCUAACUCUUUGCCUGAGGGAACAGUUUCAUGACCAGUUGUCUUACAUCCACCUUACAUUCUGAGUUAUACUAGAAAGAUUUCCCCCUGCUGUGCACUGUCUCCCCAGACCUCGACUUGGAUUUGCAGCAUACUUCAUGAAGCUCUUUGUAAUGCUGUUUGAAGGCAAUAAGGCAAACUCAGUUUUCUUAGUUACCUUGUUUUGUUGUUAGCAGGAAAGGUAGGUAUUAACCCAUUUCAUGUAAAUCUUAUAAACCAGACACAGUACCCUUUCGGGAAAAAGAUGCACUGGUACGGACACCACUAAGUGGGAAGAAUUAUAAGGAACACAUAUUAUUUUGAUUUUUUUUUCCAUUGCUCUUCACUAGAGAUAUUGAAAUAUAUCUAGACAUUUAAUGAUUGUCUCACUCAAGAUGUUAUCAGCAAGAACUGGAUUCUUUGCUGUAAAUAUAAGGAACAGAAAGGCCAGAAAAUAAG